GACGAACGCUGGCGGCGUGCCUAAUACAUGCAAGUAGAACGCUGAAGAGAGGAGCUUGCUCUUCUUGGAUGAGUUGCGAACGGGUGAGUAACGCGUAGGUAACCUGCCUUGUAGCGGGGGAUAACUAUUGGAAACGAUAGCUAAUACCGCAUAACAAUGGAUGACACAUGUCAUUUAUUUGAAAGGGGCAAUUGCUCCACUACAAGAUGGACCUGCGUUGUAUUAGCUAGUAGGUGAGGUAAUGGCUCACCUAGGCGACGAUACAUAGCCGACCUGAGAGGGUGAUCGGCCACACUGGGAAUGAGACACGGCCCAGACUCCUACGGGAGGCAGCAGUAGGGAAUCUUCGGCAAUGGGGGCAACGCUGACCGAGCAACGCCGCGUGAGUGAAGAAGGUUUUCGGAUCGUAAAGCUCCGUUGUAAGUCAAGAACGGGUGUGAGAGUGGAAAGUUCACACUGUGACGGUAGCUUACCAGAAAGGGACGGCUAACUACGUG
rnacentral:rRNA from 1 species